rnacentral:rRNA from 1 species
GAUUAACGUUGGCGGCGUGCAUAACACAUGCAAGUUGAGCGUGGCUUUGGAUUUAUUCAAAGUCUAGCAGCGGACGGCUGAGUAAUGCACAGGAACGUACCUCGAAGUGGGGGAUAGCCCAUCGAAAGAUGGGGUAAUACCGCAUGUGAUCGCAAGAUCAAAGCAGCAAUGCGCUUUGAGAGCGGCCUGUGUCCUAUCAG